rnacentral:antisense_RNA from 1 species
AGCUAAAGAAACACAACUGCGGGUUUUCUGCCCAGCAAAAUGGUUCUGAAAUGUUACUGAAUAGCUCACAGAGGACGCCAAUCUACGACAACAGAGACAUAAGCAUAUAGGAGAAAGGGUCCACACAUCCUCCUUUCAAAGGUCACAUAAAGCUUGCUGCAGAUCAGGAAAUGUCUUCAGUUUCCAAAGCCUCUCAUAGCAUGUGGAGAAAAGAGAGAGAAAGGGAGAGAAGAGUCAUGGACCCUACUUUAUGGUUGCCAUGGAUGCAAGGUCAGCCUUCCACCCUUGGAUCUACCAGCAGAGUUCAGACAGGUCAACGUGUGACCGGCUCAGGCCCUGGGGUUAAAAGUUCAAGCAGCGAUGGAAAAACCAAUAUGUCCACACAGAGUAUGCUGUACAAUUUAUUUCAAUUUACAUCAAGCCAUGCAUAUAAAAUUUAGAUAAAUUCCAUUCAGAUCUGAUGUUGCCUGACACACAAUGUAUGCAAACAGAUGUCUGUGGGGCUUUUUCUGUGCUUUAGAAAACAACAUUAAAUUUAAAAAUAUGUCUCUGGGAUUUCUUUAUUGAAUUA